rnacentral:tRNA from 1 species
GCCUGGCUGUCUCAGUUGGUAGUGUGUGUGACUCUUGAUCUCAGGGUUGUGAGUUCGAGCCCCACGUUGGGUU